rnacentral:misc_RNA from 1 species
GAAAUGCGAUAACUAGUGUGAAUUGCAGAAUUCCGUGAAUCAUCGAGUCUUUGAACGCACAUUGCGCCCCCUGGUAUUCCGGGGGGCAUACCUGUCCGAGCGUCAUUGCUGCCCAUCAAGCACGGCUUGUGUGUUGGGUCGUCGUCCCCUCUCCGGGGGGGACGGGCCCCAAAGGCAGCGGCGGCACCGCGUCCGAUCCUCGAGCGUAUGGGGCUUUGUCACCCGCUCUGUAGGCCCGGCCGGCGCUUGCCGAACGCAAAUCAAUCUUUUUCCAGGUUGACCUCGGAUCAGGUAGGGAUACCCGCUGAACUUAAGC